rnacentral:rRNA from 1 species
GAUGAACGCUAGCGGCAGGCUUAAUACAUGCAAGUCGAGGGGUAGCAAGAUUGUAGCAAUACAAUUGUUGACGACCGGCAAACGGGUGCGGAACACGUACACAACCUUCCUACAAGUGGGGAAUAGCCCAGAGAAAUUUGGAUUAAUACCCCGUAACAUAGCGAUGUGGCAUCACAUUGCUAUUAUAGCUUCGGCGCUUGUUGAUGGGUGUGCGGCUGAUUAGAUAGUUGGCGGGGUAACGGCCCACCAAGUCUACGAUCAGUAGCUGAUGUGAGAGCAUGAUCAGCCACACGGGAACUGAGACACGGGCCCGACUCCUACGGGAGGCAGCAGUAAGGAAUAUUGGACAAUGGACGCAGGUCUGAUCCAGCCAUGCCGCGUGAAGGAUUAAGGUCCUCUGGAUUGUAAACUUCUUUUAUAAGGGACGAAAAAAGGUCUUUCUAGAUCGUCUGACGGUACCUUAUGAAUAAGCACCGGCUAACUCCGUGCCAGCAGCCGCGGUAAUAC